AAGAGACGUUGCCCUUCGGGGUAUACCUCCCACCCUUUGUUUAUUAUACCUUUGUUGCUUUGGUGGGCCCGUCCUCGGACCACCGGCUUCUGCUGGUCAGUGCCCGCCAGAGGACCUAAAACUCUGUUUGUUAAUAUUGUCUGAGUACUAUAUAAUAGUUA
rnacentral:misc_RNA from 1 species